UAAAUAUUGAACAAAGGUGCGGGUAGAGCAAUAGUCUCACAAGUACACUAACUGAGUACUAGGUUGUAGAGGAGUCGUUUGUCGUCAUAUUUCUUAGUAAAAUCGUGUGCUACCAUACUAUUAUAGUUCAAAAAAUUUGUGGGUAACAACAUCUCCUCUUCCUCCUCAUCUAUAAUAGCGACAUAGUUCAUCCCACUAUCCUAUUUCUCUUGACAUGCAGCCUAUCCACCUCAGCAGCCUUGCCACAUCAGCAAUUUAUCUUAUUUAUCUUCAUGCAAUUCAUCACGUCAUCAUUUCUUUCACAAAAAUCGUGUGAUUCAACUCUGGUAACCGAAAAGGCCUCAGAACUGAUAAAGAGAAGCCCAACAGAAGCCCAUCGGUCAAUAUCUUUCCAUCUCUUACUCUUCCACAUGUAACUUGCAGCAAACCAGGCGGCGCGACGCCGUGAAGCACCGCCCAAGCACCACCGGGCGGUGUCCUGCAACCCGCAGCAAAUCCGGUGCAGGACUGCCACCGGCUCCGGCCGAAAAGGAUUGAGCUUCUCUGGUUGUCAUCAUGCGCGUAGUCCACCGCCCUCCAUGGAUGGAUCAAGGUGCAUCGACCAGAUCCGCCAUCGGGAGGAUGACCUCCAACACCGCCCCGCUACCCUGCGGCCUCGACAGGUCAACCCCGACCACCUCGACGAUUCCGCCUCCUCAAGGACGGCCUCCAGAAGCCCCCUACUACCCAGAAGCGACACCGUGGUCACCUCUCCACGACUUCCCCUGCCCGUGGGAACGCAGCGACGGGACGAUGAGGCAAGCCGCGGCGCGUCAAUUGCAGAGAGCCUCGUGACGCUCAGGUACUACUGUUGCCAGUGAGGGAUGCAAGCGUGUCAAUGCAGAGAGCCUCGUGACGCAGGUACUACUGUUGCUCGUGAGGGAUGCAAGAAUCUAUGUUGUUUACCAAUACUGUAAAAUGAAGAGUUCUACAACAAGAAGGAAGGAUUAUAUUUUCUUCUCCAUUGUCCGUGAGGGCACAAUUUGGUAACUGCUGUUGCCAGUGAGGGAUGCACAAUCUGGAACGAGUGCUUAACCCAAAAAUUGUCAUCUAAAGGUCUUACUAUUUUCAUGUUAAAUGUUUUUUUAUUGACAUGUGGUCCUCUCCUUUUAUCUGAUUGCAUAGAGAAAACAGGGCCAGAGUACUAUUUGUCUACUACACUUCUUGCCUUUGGCUCUUGGGCUGAGAUGGUGCAUUGAUUGUUGGUAUAUUUUGGUAUGGUCAUCACAUUCAGUUCCUUUUCGCAUGGAUUUGUACACACAGUGGGGACGAUGCAAGAUGACAAAGAAAGGAAAACAACAUUUUGUUCAGAACUCCAGACUGCAUUAGGUGUUUCCAUGUAGCUGUUUUGUAGUACUAUUGAUUAACUGCCAUAGUUUUUUCAUAUUUUUAUGCCUUUUGUUUUGUAGGUGUAAAUGUAAUUGACUGAUAAUUGUUGAUUGGAGAUAUCUGCAUGUCAGCCAGUUGAGUGUCAUUAGCAAUCAGUUGUGACAACUUAAAAUUUUCUGAUGGAAAUUCUUUCACAAAGUUAUUUAUUUUUCUAGAUCAUUGUUGCUUCUUGGUGUUCAUCUGUUUUUUAUGAGAAGAAACCUAGAGAGUGCCCUGAUUUAGCAAAUUCAGGUGUUACCUGUGUCCGAGUACAAUAUUGUUUUUGAGCAAGUUUAUUUCAUGGAAGGAUAUCAUUGCAGAAUCAAUUUUCGUCCAUUACAAAAUCAGUAUGGUUGGCUUAAUGAAGUUUAAGUUAAAUUUCUGUGUAAUAUUAACCUGUUUCCAGUCAACCUAAUUAUUACUUGGUUAGAAUUAGAUAGCAAUCCAAAGGCAAUGAUGUGCCUUUUUUUAAUGGCACUGACUAAACGGCAGCAGAUAAAACUUACUACGUUGCUGCUUCAGUAACGAGGUUUCUACUCGGUAAGUUUUCUUUUUUUGAUCCUACUCUUCUGUACGAGUAAUAAUACCACUAUGUUAUUUGGUACAUACAAACCAAGCUAGGCAUGAUCAGUGUAUAGUUUGUGUCGUUGCCGUAAUAUAAAACAUAAACAUCUAUUUCGUCAGCUUGCUUUAUUAAAGCUAUCACGUAUUUGCCUAUUUGGUGAUAUGUUGGAAUGUUGAAUUCUUGAUCUUUCACAAUGCAAAUCAUUUUCAUGUGUGUUGGGUUGUCUCCAUUAUAAUGUACAACACCUGUAGCACAUUAUUCUGUUGAUUAAGAAACUAAGUUGGUGGAUUAUGCAGAUUCAUCUAUGUGUUUCUUGAGACAUGAUCUCCUAAUGAUUGGACUUUUGGUAGCUCUAAUGUUGUCCUAAAUUUAUCAUUAUUCUUGGUGUUCCUCUUGGAGUGCAGGCGCUUAAUGAGGUACUGCAUUUGUGAUUGAAAAGAAGGCCAAUUAUGUUUUAGACUGAUCACCUAAUUAUAUAUUAUUUUCUCAUUAAUCGGAUGAUUAUCAAUAAGUUUUCUUGUUGUCCUUCUUGAUCCUAAACUAUUUUUUAAUUCAGUUAUUGGAACAAAUAUUGUUCUUUUACUACAUGUAGCGCUGAGCGUGCAGACAAGGAGCGCUUAUUGAGUGGCUGAGAAUUUUGGACUGAGUGAUCACACAACUACACAAGGAGCGCUGAUUGAGUGCCCAAGAUUUGAAUGACCUUUUUUUUCUAUAUUAUAAAAAUGUAUUUUGGUUGACAAUUGAAAAUACAUCCCUACUCUUAGAUAUUUGUGCUUCCUGUAUAAUUGCAACUCUUCAAAAAUACAACAACUAUGUGUGUAUAUGAUAUAUGAGGACAUGUUCUAGAAGGUGCCCCUA